GAAACUGCCUGAUGGAAGGGGAUAACUACUGGAAACGGUAGCUAAUACCGCAUAACGUCGCAAGACCAAAGAGGGGGACCUUCGGGCCUCUUGCCAUCGGAUGUGCCCAGAUGGGAUUAGCUAGUAGGUGGGGUAACGGCUCACCUAGGCGACGAUCCCUAGCUGGUCUGAGAGGAUGACCAGCCACACUGGAACUGAGACACGGUCCAGACUCCUACGGGAGGCAGCAGUGGGGAAUAUUGCACAAUGGGCGCAAGCCUGAUGCAGCCAUGCCGCGUGUAUGAAGAAGGCCUUCGGGUUGUAAAGUACUUUCAGCGGGGAGGAAGGCGAUAAGGUUAAUAACCUUGUCGAUUGACGUUACCCGCAGAAGAAGCACCGGCUAACUCCGUGCCAGCAGCCGCGGUAAUACGGAGGGUGCAAGCGUUAAUCGGAAUUACUGGGCGUAAAGCGCACGCA
rnacentral:rRNA from 1 species